AUUAAUAAGAUUGCCCCACCUGAAACAAACAGUCUGCCUUAAUUAGCAAAACCCCAUCUGUCUGGAACAGAAUGCACAAGGUCAGGAGUGUUUGGAAAGCUUAAUUCUGGAGUACACCGAACAUCAAGGCUGAACAAGAUAAUUGCAAAGGAUGAAGUUGUUGAUGAACAAUAUUCCUCUUCUUGUACUUGAGGAAGAAAAAACACAGGGAAAGCCAAGAGCGAUCAUGGGACUACUCUGUUUAGGCAGGUGGCAUUUCCGUAAAUAAAAGAGAAACCAUUUCCAGGCAGGCACCCAUCAGAAAAUUAAAGAACCAGCAACGGGCAGCCAGGUAGGAUGAGCUUCAGAGAUGAUUGGAAGAUGGAGUCAUAAAUUGCAAGCUGAUGUUGACCGAGUUGUUAUAUUAAUGUGAAAAAAAAUUAAUCAUUACACUAUAACUAGAUGACAUUAAU
rnacentral:lncRNA from 1 species